UAAGUAAUAGUGAAAUCUUGUGGCUCAACCAUAAGGCCAUUAUUUAAACUGGCAGACUCGAGAAUGAGAGAGGUCACUGGAAUUCCCUGUGUAGGAGUGAAAUCCGUAGAUAUAGGGAGGAACACCAAUGGCGUAGGCAGGUGACUGGCUCAUUUCUGACACUGAGGCACGAAAGCGUGGGAGCGAACGGGAUUAGAUACCCCGGUAGUCCACGCCGUAAGCGAUGGGAUGCUA
rnacentral:rRNA from 1 species